GGAAUCAUUAGCAGUGAGGCCAAGUUUGGGGAGCCUGAGAGGAGCUGUGCACCAAGAGGAGGGGUUUUUGUUUUGGACAAUCCAUCGGCCCUUAUUGUCUGCUUCCUUUCUCAGCUGAACCCCUGUCCCCGGAGCCCCCAGCAGUGCCCCCUGAGGAGGAGCUGCAGCACCUGAGGAAGGAACUAGAGAGGGUGUCAGCAGAGCUCCAGGCCCACGUGGAAAACCAUCAACACAACAACGAGAACAAGAGCGCAGUGCAGUUGGAGCAGCAAGUGGAGGAGCUACAGGAGAAGCUGGGCGAGAAGCACCUGGAGGCUGCCAGGCAGCAGAAUCAGCAGCUGCAGGACCAGUUGAGCCUCACGGCUCUCCCUGGUGAAGGUACGGGAGACCACUCAGAGGAAGAAGAGAGAGCCCCAGGAGGAAGGGGGGACUGUUAGCAGCAUAGGAUUGAGGAGCUGGAAGAGACCUUUAGAACAGCUGGCCAUUAUGCUGACCGGGUGCCUGCACUAAGUUCGGCAUCAGUAUGGCGACCUCCUGGGAGCGAGGGGCCACCAGGUUGCCUAAGGAUGGCUGAACUGGCCCAGAUUAGAAACGGAGCAGGUCAGAACUCCCGCAACGACCAGUAGUGGGACUGUGCCUGGGCAGUAUAGCAGGAUCUUGGUUCUUAAAAGUAAAAAUAAAGAACAGCAGCUCAUUCCUCUCUGGGAGGGGCUGGCUCAGGG
rnacentral:lncRNA from 10 species